GGGGUUGUGGCUCAGUGGUAGAGUGUUCGCCUAGCACGUGUGAGGCCCUGGGUUCUAUCCUCAGCACCACA
rnacentral:tRNA from 1 species